rnacentral:rRNA from 1 species
UACGUAGGAUGCGAGCGUUAUCCGGAUUUAUUGGGUUUAAAGGGUGCGUAGGCGGACUGUCAAGUCAGCGGUAAAAUACGGGGGCUCAACCUCCGCCCGCCGUUGAAACUGACGGUCUUGAGUGGGCGAGAAGUAUGCGGAAUGCGUGGUGUAGCGGUGAAAUGCAUAGAUAUCACGCAGAACUCCGAUUGCGAAGGCAGCAUACCGGCGCCCAACUGACGCUGAAGCACGAAAGCGUGGGUAUCGAACAGG